rnacentral:rRNA from 1 species
UACGUAGGCAGCGAGCGUUGUUCGGAGUUACUGGGCGUAAAGAGUGCGUAGGCGGUUUUCUAAGUUUGGUGUGAAAUCUCCCGGCUCAACUGGGAGGGUGCGCCGAAGACUGGAAGGCUAGAGUAUGGGAGAGGUAAGCGGAAUUCCUGGUGUAGCGGUGAAAUGCGUAGAUAUCAGGAGGAACACCUGCGGUGUAGACGGCUUACUGGACCAUCACUGACGCUGAGGCGCGAAAGCGUGGGGAGCAAACGGG